UACGGGGGGGGGCAAGCGUUGUUCGGAAUUACUGGGCGUAAAGGGCUCGUAGGUGGUCAACUAAGUCGGACGUGAAAUCCCUCGGCUUAACCGGGGAACUGCGUCCGAUACUGGAUGACUUGAGUUCGGGAGAGGGAUGCGGAAUUCCAGGUGUAGCGGUGGAAAUGCGUAGAUAUCUGGAGGAACACCGGUGGCGAAGGCGACUGACCUGGCCUGUUCUUGAGCGCUGAGGCGCGAAAGCUAGGGGAGCAAACGGG
rnacentral:rRNA from 1 species